UACGUAGGGUGCAAGCGUUGUCCGGAAUUAUUGGGCGUAAAGAGCUCGUAGGCGGCUUGUCGCGUCGGCUGUGAAAACCUGGGGCUCAACCCCGGGCCUGCAGCCGAUACGGGCAAGCUAGAAUUCGGUAGGGGAGACUGGAAUUCCUGGUGUAGCGGUGAAAUGCGUAGAUAUCUGGAGGAACACCGGUGGCGAAGGCGGCAUCCUGGACCGGCAUUGACGCUGAGGCGCGAAAGCCAGGGGAGCAAACGGG
rnacentral:rRNA from 1 species